GCCUGUGAGGGUUGCUGGAGGUAUCAGAAGUGCGAAUGCUGACAUAAGUAACGAUAAAGCGGGUGAAAAGCCCGCUCGCCGGAAGACCAAGGGUUCCUGUCCAACGUUAAUCGGGGCAGGGUGAGUCGACCCCUAAGGCGAGGCCGAAAGGCGUAGUCGAUGGGAAACGGGUUAAUAUUCCCGUACUUGGUGUUACUGCGAAGGGGGGACGGAGAAGGCUAUGUUGGCCGGGCGACGGUUGUCCCGGUUUAAGCGUGUAGGUGUGUGUUCCAGGUAAAUCCGGUUCACUUUAACACUGAGGCGUGACGACGAGGCACUACGGUGCUGAAGCAACAAAUGCCCUGCUUCCAGGAAAAGCCUCUAAGCAUCAGGUAACAUCAAAUCGUACCCCAAACCGACACAGGUGGUCAGGUAGAGAAUACCAAGGCGCUUGAGAGAACUCGGGUGAAGGAACUAGGCAAAAUGGUGCCGUAACUUCGGGAGAAGGCACGCUGACACGUAGGUGAAGUGAUUUACUCAUGGAGCUGAAGUCAGUCGAAGAUACCAGCUGGCUGCAACUGUUUAUUAAAAACACAGCACUGUGCAAACACGAAAGUGGACGUAUACGGUGUGACGCCUGCCCGGUGCCGGAAGGUUAAUUGAUGGGGUCAGCGCAAGCGAAGCUCCUGAUCGAAGCCCCGGUAAACGGCGGCCGUAACUAUAACGGUCCUAAGGUAGCGAAAUUCCUUGUCGGGUAAGUUCCGACCUGCACGAAUGGCGUAAUGAUGGCCAGGCUGUCUCCACCCGAGACUCAGUGAAAUUGAACUCGCUGUGAAGAUGCAGUGUACCCGCGGCAAGACGGAAAGACCCCGUGAACCUUUACUAUAGCUUGACACUGAACAUUGAGCCUUGAUGUGUAGGAUAGGUGGGAGGCUUUGAAGUGUGGACGCCAGUCUGCAUGGAGCCGACCUUGAAAUACCACCCUUUAAUGUUUGAUGUUCUAACGUGGACCCGUUACCCGGGUUGCGGACAGUGUCUGGUGGGUAGUUUGACUGGGGCGGUCUCCUCCUAAAGAGUAACGGAGGAGCACGAAGGUUGGCUAAUCCUGGUCGGACAUCAGGAGGUUAGUGCAAUGGCAUAAGCCAGCUUGACUGCGAGCGUGACGGCGCGAGCAGGUGCGAAAGCAGGUCAUAGUGAUCCGGUGGUUCUGAAUGGAAGGGCCAUCGCUCAACGGAUAAAAGGUACUCCGGGGAUAACAGGCUGAUACCGCCCAAGAGUUCAUAUCGACGGCGGUGUUUGGCACCUCGAUGUCGGCUCAUCACAUCCUGGGGCUGAAGUAGGUCCCAAGGGUAUGGCUGUUCGCCAUUUAAAGUGGUACGCGAGCUGGGUUUAGAACGUCGUGAGACAGUUCGGUCCCUAUCUGCCGUGGGCGCUGGAGAACUGAGGGGGGCUGCUCCUAGUACGAGAGGACCGGAGUGGACGCAUCACUGGUGUUCGGGUUGUCAUGCCAAUGGCACUGCCCGGUAGCUAAAUGCGGAAGAGAUAAGUGCUGAAAGCAUCUAAGCACGAAACUUGCCCCGA
rnacentral:rRNA from 1 species